rnacentral:rRNA from 1 species
GUGCCAGCAGCCGCGGUAAUACGGAGGAUCCAAGCGUUAUCCGGAUUCAUUGGGUUUAAAGGGUGCGUAGGCGGAAUUGUAAGUCAGUGGUGAAAGCCUGCAGCUUAACUGCAGAAUUGCCAUUGAUACUGCAAAUCUUGAGUACAUUUGAUGUGGGCGGAAUGUGUCAUGUAGCGGUGAAAUGCUUAGAUAUGACACAGAACACCGAUUGCGAAGGCAGCUCACAAAACUGUAACUGACGCUGAGGCACGAAAGCGUGGGGAUCGAACAGGAUUAGAUACCCUGGUAGUCC